GUUCGAACAAGUGAUGUCGACACCGAUGGCUUCCCGAUUAAGAUAGGACUGCAUCAGGGGUCAGCUUUGAGCCCUUAUCUUUUUGCAUUGGUGAUGGAUGAGGUCACAAGGGAUAUACAAGGAGAUAUCCCAUGGUGUAUGCUCUUUGUGGAUGAUGUGGUGCUAGUUGACGAUAGUCGGACGGGGGUAAAUAGGAAGUUAGAGUUAUGGAGACAAACCUUGGAAUCGAAAGGGUUUAGGCUUAGUAGAACUAAAACCGAAUACAUGAUUUGCGGUUUCAGUACUACUAGGUGUGAGGAGGAGGAGGUUAGCCUUGAUGGCCAGGUGGUACCUCGGAAGGACACCUUUCGGUAUUUGGGGUCAAUGUUGCAG
rnacentral:rRNA from 1 species